AGUGAACGCUGGCGGUAGGCCUAACACAUGCAAGUCGAACGGCAGCACAGUAAGAGCUUGCUCUUACGGGUGGCGAGUGGCGGACGGGUGAGGAAUACAUCGGAAUCUACUUUUUCGUGGGGGAUAACGUAGGGAAACUUACGCUAAUACCGCAUACGACCUACGGGUGAAAGCAGGGGAUCUUCGGACCUUGCGCGAUUGAAUGAGCCGAUGUCGGAUUAGCUAGUUGGCGGGGUAAAGGCCCACCAAGGCGACGAUCCGUAGCUGGUCUGAGAGGAUGAUCAGCCGCACUGGAACUGGGACACGGUCCAGGCUCCUACGGGAGGCAGCAGUGGGGAAUAUUGGACAAUGGGCGCAAGCCUGAUCCAGCCAUACCGCGUGGGUGAAGAAGGCCUUCGGGUUGUAAAGCCCUUUUGUUGGGAAAGAAAAGCAGCAGGUUAAUACCCCGCUGUUCUGACGGUACCCAAAGAAUAAGCACCGGCUAACUUCGUG
rnacentral:rRNA from 1 species